rnacentral:rRNA from 1 species
AUUGAACGCUGGCGGCAGGCUUAACACAUGCAAGUCGAGCGAGCGGCGGACGGGUGAGUAAUGUCUGGGAAACUGCCUGAUGGAGGGGGAUAACUACUGGAAACGGUAGCUAAUACCGCAUACCAUCAGAUGUGCCCAGCUGGGAUUAGCUAGUGGGGGGGGUAAUGGCUCACCUCGGCGACGAUCCCUAGCUGGUCUGAGAGGAGGACAAGCCACACGGGAACGGAGACACGGUCCAGAGUCCUACGGGAGGCAGCAGUGGGGAAUAUGGCACAAUGGGCGCAAGCCUUAUGCAGCCAUGCCGCGUGUGUGAAGAAGGCCUUCGGGGUGUAAAGCACUUUCAGCGGGGAGGCGUUACUCGCAGAAGAAGCACCGGCUAACUCCGUGCCAGCAGCCGCGGUAAUAC